rnacentral:rRNA from 1 species
AUUGAACGCUGGCGGCAUGCCUUACACAUGCAAGUCGAACGGCAGCGCGGACUUCGGUCUGGCGGCGCGUGGCGAACGGGUGAGUAAUACAUCGGAACGUACCCUGUUGUGGGGGAUAACUAGUCGAGAGAUUAGCUAAUACCGCAUACGACCUGAGGGUGAAAGAGGGGGAGAGGAAACGGCCUCAUGCAGCAGGGUCGGCCGAUGUCGGAUUAGCUAGUUGGUGGGGUAAAGGCCCACCAAGGCGACGAUCAGUAGCUGGUCUGAGAGGACGAUCAGCCACACUGGGACUGAGACACGGCCCAGACUCCUACGGGAGGCAGCAGUGGGGAAUUUUGGACAAUGGGGGCAACCCUGAUCCAGCAAUGCCGCGUGUGUGAAGAAGGCCUUCGGGUUGUAAAGCACUUUUGUCCGGAAAGAAAUCGCGCUGGUUAAUACCUGGCGUGGAUGACGGUACCGGAAGAAUAAGCACCGGCUAACUACGUG